rnacentral:rRNA from 1 species
GACGAACGCUGGCGGCGUGCCUAAUACAUGCAAGUCGAGCGGAACCAUUGGAGCUUGCUCCUUUGGUUUAGCGGCGGACGGGUGAGUAACACGUGGGCAACCUGCCCUGCAGAUCGGGAUAACUCCGGGAAACCGGUGCUAAUACCGAAUAGUUUGCGGCCUCUCAUGAGGCUGUACGGAAAGACGGUUUCGGCUGUCACUGCAGGAUGGGCCCGCGGCGCAUUAGCUAGUUGGUGAGGUAACGGCUCACCAAGGCCACGAUGCGUAGCCGACCUGAGAGGGUGAUCGGCCACACUGGGACUGAGACACGGCCCAGACUCCUACGGGAGGCAGCAGUAGGGAAUCUUCCGCAAUGGACGAAAGUCUGACGGAGCAACGCCGCGGGAGUGAAGAAGGUUUUCGGAUCGUAAAACUCUGUUGUGAGGGAAGAACAAGUACCAAUUAACUACUGGUACCUUGACGGUACCUCACCAGAAAGCCACGGCUAACUACGUGCCAGCCGCCGCCGUAAGAC